rnacentral:ncRNA from 1 species
AGUAAAAAAUUUAUAAGAAUAUGAUGUUGUUUCAGAUUAAGCGCUAAAUAAGGACAUGACGCAUACGAGUCAUACGUUUAUUAUUGAUAAGAUAAUAAAUAUGUGGUGUAAACGUGAGUAAUUUUAUUAGGAAUUAAUGAACUAUAGAAUAAGCUAAAUACUUAAUAUAUUAUUAUAUAAAAAUAAUUUAUAUAAUAAAAAGGAUAUAUAUAUAAUAUAUAUUUAUCUAUAGUCAAGCCAAUAAUGGUUUAGGUAGUAGGUUUAUUAAGAGUUAAACCUAGCCAACGAUCCAUAAUCGAUAAUGAAAGUUAGAACGAUCACGUUGACUCUGAAAUAUAGUCAAUAUCUAUAAGAUACAGCAGUGAGGAAUAUUGGACAAUGAUCGAAAGAUUGAUCCAGUUACUUAUUAGGAUGAUAUAUAAAAAUAUUUUAUUUUAUUUAGUUCCGGGGCCCGGCCACGGAGCCGAACCCGAAAGGAGAAAUAUUAAAUAUUUAUAAUAAUAAUAAUAAUAAUAUAUAUAUAUAAAUUGAUUAAAAAUAAAAUCCAUAAAUAAUUAAAAUAAUGAUAUUAAUUACCAUAUAUAUUUUAUAUGGAUAUAUAUAUUAAUAAUAAUAUUAAUUUAUUAUUAUUAAUAAUAUAUUUUAAUAGUCCUGACUAAUAUUUGUGCCAGCAGUCGCGGUAACACAAAGAGGGCGAGCGUUAAUCAUAAUGGUUUAAAGGAUCCGUAGAAUGAAUUAUAUAUUAUAAUUUAGAGUUAAUAAAAUUAAUUAAAGAAUUAUAAUAGUAAAGAUGAAAUAAUAAUAAUAAUUAUAAGACUAAUAUAUGUGAAAAUAUUAAUUAAAUAUUAACUGACAUUGAGGGAUUAAAACUAGAGUGCGAAACGGAUUCGAUAUUCGUGUAGUUUCUAGUAGUAAACUAUGAAUACAAUUAUUUAUAAUAUAUAUUAUAUAUAAAUAAUAAAUGAAAAUGAAAGUAUUCCACCUGAAGAGUACGUUAGCAAUAAUGAAACUCAAAACAAUAGACGGUUACAGACUUAAGCAGUGGAACAUGUUAUUUAAUUCGAUAAUCCACGACUAACUUUACCAUAUUUUGAAUAUUAUAAUAAUUAUUAUAAUUAUUAUAUUACAGGCGUUACAUUGUUGUCUUUAGUUCGUGCUGCAAAGUUUUAGAUUAAAUGUGCAUAAACGAGCAAAACUCCAUAUAUAUAAUUUUAUAUUAUUUAUUAAUAUAAAGAAAGGAAUUAAGACAAAUCAUAAUGAUCCUUAUAAUAUGGGUAAUAGACGUGCUAUAAUAAAAUGAUAAUAAAAUUAUAUAAAAUAUAUUUAAUUAUAUUUAAUUAAUAAUAUAAAACAUUUUAAUUUUUAAUAUAUUUUUUUAUUAUAUAUUAAUAUGAAUUAUAAUCUGAAAUUCGAUUAUAUGAAAAAAGAAUUGCUAGUAAUACGUAAAUUAGUAUGUUACGGUGAAUAUUCUAACUGUUUCGCACUAAUCACUCAUCACGCGUUGAAACAUAUUAUUAUCUUAUUAUUUAUAUAAUAUUUUUUAAUAAAUAUUAAUAAUUAUUAAUUUAUAUUUAUUUAUAUCAGAAAUAAUAUGAAUUAAUGCGAAGUUGAAAUACAGUUACCGUAGGGGAACCUGCGGUGGGCUUAUAAAUAUCUUAAAUAUUCUUACA